rnacentral:rRNA from 1 species
UACGGAGGGGGCGAGCGUUAUUCGGAAUUACUGGGCGUAAAGCGCACGUAGGCGGACUACUAAGUCAGGGGUGAAAUCCCGGGGCUCAACCCCGGAACUGCCUUUGAUACUGAUAGUCUCGAGUCCGGAAGAGGUGAGUGGAAUUCCGAGUGUAGAGGUGAAAUUCGUAGAUAUUCGGAGGAACACCAGUGGCGAAGGCGGCUCACUGGUCCGGUACUGACGCUGAGGUGCGAAAGCGUGGGGAGCAAACAGG